rnacentral:rRNA from 1 species
UCAGGAUGAACGCUAGCGGCAGGCUUAACACAUGCAAGUCGAGGGGCAUCGGGAGUAGCAAUACUGCCGGCGACCGGCGCAAGGGUGCGUAACGCGUGAGCAACAUGCCCGUAUCAGGGGGAUAAUCCAUGGAAACGUGGUCUAAUACCCCAUAGUAAUUAUGUAAGGCAUCUUAUAUAAUUUAAAGCUUUGGUGGAUACGGAUUGGCUCGCGUGACAUUAGCUGGAUGGUAAGGUAACGGCUUACCAUGGCUACGAUGUCUAGGGGUUCUGAGAGGAAGGUCCCCCCACACUGGAACUGAGACACGGUCCAGACUCCUACGGGAGGCAGCAGUGAGGAAUAUUGGACAAUGGAUGGAAAUCUGAUCCAGCCAUGCCGCGUGCAGGGAAAGACGGCCCUAUGGGUUGUAAACUGCUUUUGUAUGGGAGCAAUAAGGGCUACGUGUAGUCCGAUGAGAGUACCAUACGAAUAAGCACCGGCUAACUCCGUGCCAGCAGCCGC